rnacentral:tRNA from 1 species
UACAUUUUAGUGUAUGGUGCACAAGAAUUUUUGAGGUUCUAUGAAAUAGUUUAAUUCUAUUAAAUGUAG